rnacentral:rRNA from 1 species
UACGAAGGGGGCUAGCGUUGCUCGGAUUGACUGGGCGUAAAGGGCGCGUAGGCGGCUUGUACAGUCAGACGUGAAAUUCCUGGGCUCAACCUGGGGGCUGCGUUUGAUACGUAUGGGCUUGAGUUCGGAAGAGGGUCGUGGAAUUCCCAGUGUAGAGGUGAAAUUCGUAGAUAUUGGGAAGAACACCCGGUGGCGAAGGCGG